AGAGUUUGAUCAUGGCUCAGGACGAACGCUGGCGGCGUGCCUAAUACAUGCAAGUCGAGCGGAACUCUUCGGAGUUCAGCGGCGGACGGGUGAGUAACACGUGGGUAACCUGCCCUUGACUCUGGGAUAACCUCCGGAAACGGAAGCUAAUACCGGAUAUGACGUACGGAGGCAUCUCCUGUACGUGGAAAGAACUUCGG
rnacentral:rRNA from 1 species